rnacentral:rRNA from 1 species
GACGUAGGGUGCGAGUGUUGUCCGGAUUUAUUGGGCGUAAAGAGCUCGUAGGCGGCUUGUCGCGUCGACCGUGAAAACUUGGGGCUCAACCCCAAGCCUGCGGUCGAUACGGGCAGGCUAGAGUUCGGUAGGGGAGACUGGAAUUCCUGGUGUAGCGGUGAAAUGCGCAGAUAUCAGGAGGAACACCGGUGGCGAAGGCGGCAUCCUGGACCGAGAUCGACGCUGAGGCGCGAAAGCUAGGGGAGCAAACGGG